GUUUCUCUAAAUUUAGUACCAAACCCCCUGCUUGAACCCCAGGGUUUAAGGGCUAAGGCCCUCAAGAAGAAAUAAGGAACUUGAAAAUAAAAUUGUGAUAAUUUACUGCAGAAAAAGAAUAGGUAGCAAGUACUGUAUACUGUAGCAGCGGGUCUCAUAAAACAGUAUAGUAACCAGAACCUACCACUAGAGGCCGCCUGUGUAGGUGGUUGUCUGUGUAGUUGAGGAGGAGAGAGAAAAAUUAUUUGGUUUGUUGUAUUGUUCUGUACAUCAAAAACAUAAAGCCAGAAAAGCUCAAGGACUUUCAUUUCUGUCUUUUAUUUUCAAGUUUUACAUGUAAAGGUCCCCUGAGCCUUGCUACCCAAACUGAGGAUUUUCAGCACGAGGAACAAAAGCAAAGAAAAAUGAUGUAGGGGUACCAAAACUAUUUACAGCUUGUCUGAGGGUCGACCCCCUGGCCACAGGACAAGUAGGCCUAGGCCCCCUUGCAGUGACCAAGGGAGAGCUACAGGAGGUGGAGGGGUGGAAAGGAUGGAAAAGACCAAGGAGAAGGAGAAACGACUCACACAUGCAUCCCCUCAGAUAAGGAGAACUCAGUUCUAAAACUAUAUGUGUUGCUGCCAUCUCUGAAGAGAAGUUCAAAAGGCAUUUGCAACUCUGUUUUUAAAAGAACCCUGUAGAGACACAUACUACUUGCACCAGCGGGAACAGACAGAUGACCAGUAAAUAAACUUUAAAAGAAAACUUCUUC